CAGGGUUUGGGGUUUUUGGCUGUGAAUCCCAAAUUUCCCCCUUUAUUCGGGCUGCAGGGUUUGGGGUUUCUGGCUGUGAAUCCCAUAUUUCCCCCUUUGUUCGUGCCAGGCACCCCGAGGGCUGCAGGUUUUGGGUUUUUUGGCUGUGAAUCUCAAAUUCCCCCCUUUGUUCGGGCCGCAGGUUUUUGGGGUUUUUGGCUGAACUCUGCAGAUUUCUCAGGGCAUCAAUGAUUUUUCUGGGUGAAUCGGAGCAGCUGCAGGGGCAGGGAUGGGUGAGCAAAUCCCUUCCCAGGAGGGCAGGAGCUUUCUCUGUGCUGCUCUCAGAGUUGGUGAUGGGCUGGUUUGGGAACAGGGCUUGUUUGUGCUGGGCGGUCAAAUGCAGUGGAGGUUUUGCCUAAAAAUGAAGGUUUUCCCUAAAAAUAUGGAGAUUUUACCUAAAAAAAAAAA